rnacentral:rRNA from 1 species
AUUGAACGCUGGCGGCAGGCCUAACACAUGCAAGUCGAGCGGAUGAAGGGAGCUUGCUCCUGGAUUCAGCGGCGGACGGGUGAGUAAUGCCUAGGAAUCUGCCUGGUAGUGGGGGAUAACGUCCGGAAACGGGCGCUAAUACCGCAUACGUCCUGAGGGAGAAAGUGGGGGAUCUUCGGACCUCACGCUAUCAGAUGAGCCUAGGUCGGAUUAGCUAGUUGGUGGGGUAAAGGCCUACCAAGGCGACGAUCCGUAACUGGUCUGAGAGGAUGAUCAGUCACACCGGAACUGAGACACGGUCCAGACUCCUACGGGAGGCAACAGUGGGGAAUAUUGGACAAUGGGCGAAAGCCUGAUCCAGCCAUGCCGCGUGUUUGAAGAAGGUCUUCGGAUUGUAAAGCACCUUAAGUUGGGAGGAAGGGCAGUAAGUUAAUACCUUGCUGUUUUGACGUUACCAACAGAAUAAGCACCGGCUAACUUCGUG